rnacentral:rRNA from 1 species
AGAGUUUGAUCCUGGCUCAGAACGAACGCUGGCGGCAUGCCUAACACAUGCAAGUCGAACGAGACCUUCGGGUCUAGUGGCACACGGGUGCGUAACGCGUGGGAAUCUGCCCUUAGGUACGGAAUAACUCAGGGAAACUUGAGCUAAUACCGUAUAAUGACUCCGGUCCAAAGAUUUAUCGCCUGAGGAUGAGCCCGCGUAGGAUUAGCUAGUUGGUGAGGUAAAGGCUCACCAAGGCGACGAUCCUUAGCUGGUCUGAGAGGAUGAUCAGCCACACUGGGACUGAGACACGGCCCAGACUCCUACGGGAGGCAGCAGUGGGGAAUAUUGGACAAUGGGCGAAAGCCUGAUCCAGCAAUGCCGCGUGCAGGAGGAAGGCCUUCGGGUUGUAAACUGCUUUUAUCUGUGACGAUUUUGACGGUAGCAGAAGAAUAAGGAUCGGCUAAUUCCGUGCCAGCAGCCGCGGUAAUUC